rnacentral:rRNA from 1 species
AGUGAACGCUGGCGGUAGGCCUAAUACAUGCAAGUCGAACGGCAGCACAGUAAGAGCUUGCUCUUACGGGUGGCGAGUGGCGGACGGGUGAGGAAUACAUCGGCAUCUACUUUUUCGUGGGGGAUAACGUAGGGACACUUAUGCUAAUACCGCAUAUGACCUACGGGUGAAAGCAGGGGAUCUUCGGACCUUGCGCGAUUGAAUGAGCUGAUGUCGGAUUAGCUAGUUGGCGGGGUAAAGGCCCACCAAGGCGACGAUCCGUAGCUGGUCUGAGAGGAUGAUCAGCCACACUGGAACUGAGACACGGUCCAGACUCCUACGGGAGGCAGCAGUGGGGAAUAUUGGACAAUGGGCGCAAGCCUGAUCCAGCCAUGCCGCGUGAGUGAAGAAGGCCUUCGGGUUGUAAAGCCCUUUUGUUAGGAAAGAAAAGCAGCAGGUUAAUACCCCGCUGUUCUGACGGUACCCAAAGAAUAAGCACCGGCUAACUUCGUG